ACGCUCAGCUAUAUGGUUGUACAGCGC
rnacentral:sRNA from 1 species